rnacentral:rRNA from 1 species
AACGAACGCUGGCGGCAUGCCUAACACAUGCAAGUCGAACGUGAUCCGGGGCUUGCUCCGGUGAAAGUGGCGGACGGGUGAGUAACGCGUGGGAACCUGCCCUUUGGUCGGGGAUAACUGCGGGAAACUGCGGCUAAUACCCGAUGUACCCGAGAGGGGAAAGAUUUAUCGCCGAAGGAUGGGCCCGCGUCGGAUUAGGUAGUUGGUGGGGUAACGGCCUACCAAGCCUUCGAUCCGUAGCUGGUCUGAGAGGAUGAUCAGCCACACUGGGACUGAGAUACGGCUCAGACUCCUACGGGAGGCAGCAGUGGGGAAUAUUGGACAAUGGGCGAAAGCCUGACGCAGCGACGCCGCGUGGGGGAUGAAGGUCUUCGGAUUGUAAACCCCUUUCGGGAGGGAAGAUGGAACGAGCAAUCGUUCGGACGGUACCUCCAGAAGCAGCCACGGCCAACUUCGUG